rnacentral:rRNA from 1 species
AUUGAACGCUGGCGGCAGGCCUAACACAUGCAAGUCGAACGGUAACAGGAAGAAGCUUGCUUCUUUGCUGACGAGUGGCGGACGGGUGAGUAAUGUCUGGGAAACUGCCUGAUGGAGGGGGAUAACUACUGGAAACGGUAGCUAAUACCGCAUAACGUCGCAAGACCAAAAAGGGGGACCUUCGGGCCUCUUGCCAUCGGAUGUGCCCAGAUGGGAUUAGCUAGUAGGUGGGGUAACGGCUCACCUAGGCGACGAUCCCUAGCUGGUCUGAGAGGAUGACCAGCCACACUGGAACUGAGACACGGUCCAGACUCCUACGGGAGGCAGCAGUGGGGAAUAUUGCACAAUGGGCGCAAGCCUGAUGCAGCCAUGCCGCGUGUAUGAAGAAGGCCUUCGGGUUGUAAAGUACUUUCAGCGGGGAGGAAGGGAGUAAAGUUAAUACCUUUGCUCAUUGAUGUUACCCGCAGAAGAAGCACCGGCUAACUCCGUG